CGCACUUCUCUAAGCCAAUGAUCAUCCACAACCUGAGAACUCCAGCAAGAACCGCUAGGAGAUCUGACGAGAAUUACCUCUCCAUAUGAAGUGUUGAAAAUUCUUCUCAAAGAUUGCAAAACUUGUUAGAGUGUUAUUUGAAUUUCUAAAGAUGAUAAUAAAAUUGUAGAAUUCGAGCAGCACGAGUAAAUACUAGCUCAAAUAAUGUGCGGGUCUAGAAAAAGGAGAAAAAAAGGAUUAUCAAUAUACAUUUGGAGUUAUGACAAAUUUAGUAAAUUGAAUAUAUUUAAAGGAUUGAACGUAAACAAAUUAGCAAAGAAAAAGGUCAUAUUUGCUUGAAUGCUCUACCCUACAAAUGGAUUGAAGCAUUCAAAUUCUAGUCGCAGAAAAUGGGGAAAAAAAAUGUAACUGAAUUAAUCUGUCCCAUCUGUAUCUGACAAAGAACCAAGUUAGAUUUACAGAUGAAGAAAAAAAGGAAAUAAACAAAAUUUUUGCUUUUUGCAAACAAAUUAAACCGAAAAGUGAAUUUAUGGUGUUAGGUGUAGGGAGUAUUAUACGUAGUUAUAGGUAAAAAAUAAUUUUUUAUAUAUUUUUCAAUUAUCAUUAGCUUUUAGGCAUUUUAUUUAACAAAAUAGUUAAUUGUUGAUUUUUAAAUUUUUGAUAAGAAUAGUUCAUUGUUGUAUUUCUAUAGAUUAGAGGAUGUAUAAAUGGUCUAGAGUGACCAGCUACUAGUUUUAUGGAAUAAUUUCUGACAUAUGAAUUUAAUGAGUUUAUUGUGUAGAUAUCAUUUAAUGUUUGUAACAGAUGAAGGAAUGAUAAUAUUUUUAAGUUGUAGGAACUACUUACUAAUAUUAUAGGAUGAGAAAUGUUCUCUCCGUAAGAUUAACUUUGUCAUCAAUACCCAACAUAAGGUACCAAAAGGCUGCCUAACCGUACAAAAAACCUCUGUGCACCCAAGCCUUAUUUUCUAGUUAACAACCUACCACCAACUACACUAAACAGACGUUCAAUGACAAACCUCGUAACAACCAUUCUACAACUUCUUCAUAAUUUGAUGAAAGUCAAAAAAUACCAUCUUCAUUGCCAAAUACAUGCAACCAUUCUCUUCAACUUUCCCCAACUCCUCCUGUUUUGCUCCCUCGAAUGCCACACCACAUCUUACAUCCAGCAUAUCUCGAACCAGAGAAUUUUGAAUCCAGGCUUCAAAAUCACUAACCAUCGCCCGACUAGCAGUCUCCACACCAGACAUGGCAUCGACGGACUUGCAACAACCCAGAAAGGUAUUCGUUGUUUUGAUGAUAAUAAUAGUGCUUUUUCCUGUUUUUCGCUUGUCUCUGAGAUGCAGAUGCCUGCCCUUUUAGCACAUUUGCAAAGUGUGUACGCAAACCUUCCCUCCCAUUCGCUAUCUGCAGCACUUGAGAAAGUCAUCUCUUUCUCAAUUCCACGAGUCAAAAAUCGCAAAUCCUAAUUUAAUUUUCCUCUUCCAAAUGAGCUCCAAGAUUAUACCUCUUUUAUCUCAUACACGUCAGAUAGAUGGUAUUUUUGCGUUAAAAU
rnacentral:lncRNA from 1 species